rnacentral:rRNA from 1 species
ACAGUGUCUGGUGGGUAGUUUGACUGGGGCGGUCUCCUCCUAAAGAGUAACGGAGGAGCACGAAAGUUGGCUAAUCCUGGUCGGACAUCAGGAGGUUAGUGCAAUGGCAUAAGCCAGCUUGACUGCGAGCGUGACGGCGCGAGCAGGUGCGAAAGCAGGUCAUAGUGAUCCGGUGGUUCUGAAUGGAAGGGCCAUCGCUCAACGGAUAAAAAGGUACUCCGGGGAUAACAGGCUGAUACCGCCCAAGAGUUCAUAUCGACGGCGGUGUUUGGCACCUCGAUGUCGGCUCAUCACAUCCUGGGGCUGAAGUAGGUCCCAAGGGUAUGGCUGUUCGCCAUUUAAAGUGGUACGCGAGCUGGGUUUAGAACGUCGUGAGACAGUUCGGUCCCUAUCUGCCGUGGGCGCUGGAGAACUGAGGGGGGCUGCUCCUAGUACGAGAGGACCGGAGUGGACGCAUCACUGGUGUUCGGGUUGUCAUGCCAAUGGCACUGCCCGGUAGCUAAAUGCGGAAGAGAUAAGUGCUGAAAGCAUCUAAGCACGAAACUUGCCCCGAGAUGAGUUCUCCCUGAGACUUAGAGUCUCCUGAAGGAACGUUGAAGACGACGACGUUGAUAGGCCGGGUGUGUAAGCGCAGCGAUGCGUUGAGCUAACCGGUACUAAUGAACCGUGAGGCUUAACCUUACAACGCCGAAG